GACGAACGUUGGCGGCGUGCUUAAUACAUGCAAGUCGACUGAAGCAGUGGUAGCAAUAUCGCUGUGGAGGUGGCGCACGGGUGAGUAACACGUAGGUAAUCUGCCUUCAGGUCUGGCAUAACUCCGGGAAACCGGGGCUAAUAGCAGAUGAUGCAGCGGCUCGACAUCGAGACAGUUGUUAAAGCUAUGGCGCCUGAAGAUGAGCCUGCGUCUGAUUAGCUAGUUGGCGGGGUAACGGCCCACCAAGGCAACGAUCAGUAGCUGGUCUGAGAGGAUGAUCAGCCACACUGGAACUGAGACACGGUCCAGACUCCUACGGGAGGCAGCAGUAAGGAAGAUGGAGCAAUGGGGGAAAUCCUGAAGCAGCAACGCCGCGUGAGGGACGAAGGGCUUUUGCUUGUAAACCUCUGUGGUGAGAGAAAAAAAUCCCAAUCUUUGGGACAUGAUGGUAUCUCAAAAGUAAGCCCCGGCUAACUACGUG
rnacentral:rRNA from 1 species